UACAGAGGUCUCGAGCGUUAGGCGGAAUCACUGGGCUUAAAGCGUGUGUAGGUGGAUGCCUAAGUACCUUGUGAAAUCCCACAGCUUAACUGUGGAACUGCUUGGUAUACUGGGUGUCUUGAGUCACUCAGGGGGCGAGCGGAACAAAUGGUGGAGCGGUGAAAUGACGUAGAUAUCUGGAGGAACACCGGGUGGCGAAGGCGGCAAUCCUGG
rnacentral:rRNA from 1 species